GACGAACGCUGGCGGCGUGCCUAAUACAUGCAAGUAGAACGCUGAAGGAGGAGCUUGCUUCUCUGGAUGAGUUGCGAACGGGUGAGUAACGCGUAGGUAACCUGCCUGGUAGCGGGGGAUAACUAUUGGAAACGAUAGCUAAUACCGCAUAAUAGUAGAUGUUGCAUGACAUUUGCUUAAAAGGUGCAAUUGCAUCACUACCAGAUGGACCUGCGUUGUAUUAGCUAGUUGGUGGGGUAACGGCUCACCAAGGCGACGAUACAUAGCCGACCUGAGAGGGUGAUCGGCCACACUGGGACUGAGACACGGCCCAGACUCCUACGGGAGGCAGCAGUAGGGAAUCUUCGGCAAUGGACGGAAGUCUGACCGAGCAACGUCGCGUGAGUGAAGAAGGUUUUCGGAUCGUAAAGCUCUGUUGUAAGAGAAGAACGAGUGUGAGAGUGGAAAGUUCACACUGUGACGGUAUCUUACCAGAAAGGGACGGCUAACUACGUG
rnacentral:rRNA from 1 species